rnacentral:rRNA from 1 species
UACGAAGGGGGCUAGCGUUGUUCGGAAUUACUGGGCGUAAAGCGCGCGCAGGCGGUUUUCAAGUCAGUGGUGAAAGCCCGGAGCUCAACUCCGGAACUGCCAUUGAAACUGUAAAACUUGAGGACGAGAGAGGUGAGUGGAAUUCCCAGUGUAGAGGUGAAAUUCGUAGAUAUUGGGAAGAACACCGGUGGCGAAGGCGGCUCACUGGCUCGUUUCUGACGCUCAGGCGCGACAGCGUGGGGAUCAAACAGG